rnacentral:lncRNA from 1 species
UAAGCAUUCUGCAUCAGUUCCUGGUUUGGAUUCUCCUGGAAGCAGACUCUGAGACAAGGACCUGAGAGUCAAUAGGUUAUUGGGAAAGAUCCUGGAAGGGCAAGAGAAUGAGAAGGGAAAGUGAAAUCCAGAAGGGAGAAGCAAACAAUGAAGGGUGAGUUGGUAAGCUGGUGAGUUGUUUUUUUGUUUGUUUGUUUGUUUUUUUGAGGCAGAGUCUUGCUCUGUCACCCAGGCCGGAGUACAGUGGCACGAUCUCGACUCACUGCAACCUCCGCCUCCCAGGUUCAAGCGAUUCUCCUGCCUCAGCCUCCCAAGUAGCUGGGAUUAUAGGCACCCGCUGCCACACCUGGCUAAUUUUUUGUAUUUUAGUACAGACGGAGUUUCACCGUGUUUCCCAGGCUGGUCUCAAACUCCUGAGCUCAGGCAAUCCACCCACCUUGGCCUCCCAAAUUGCUAGGAUUGCAGGCAUGAGCCACCACACCCAGCCACUUUUCUUAAAAACACACACACAAACAAACAAAACUAUGUGAUCCUCCAGUUCUUUCUCCUCAGUGACCAACUUGAAGUCCAUAUGUUUAAGAUGGUAGGAAUGUAAGAUUGAAGGAGCUUUGAUCCCUGAGUCACUGAGCAAAGGAGUCCACCAAGGAAAGCCACUCAAAUUAUGCCAGACUGUAACAUGAAUGAGAAAUAGACAGUUGUAUGCAGCCCCUAAGAUUUGGAGAUUUGUUACUGCAGAAGAGCCUAGCCCAUCCUGACUAACACAGAAUAUAUAUUGGCUCUGCUGAGAAUCUCUGCAUGUUUUGGCAGUAUGUUUCUUUUCCCUUUUCCUCUUCAUAACUUGAAAAGAAUCUUUAAUGCAAUUUCAGGGCUAAAACAGUGUGCUUCUGCUUCAAGAAACAAAUAUGCUUAGCUGAGUGAUGUUCUUGCAGUUGGCAAUGAACCCAUGAUGCCCAGCCAGUAUAAUAGUCUUGACAGCAUCUCUCAAGGCCCGCCUGCCUGCUUUAAGACCCAGUCUUGGCGACAGGGUUUAGCUGCCCACCCUUCCAUUUAACACAUCUAGAGAAACUACCAAUUACUGCUAAACUGCCUUGUGUGGCUCAGCCCUCAGGUCAGAGGAUGACAUCCGGGAGGGCCAUUUCAAUGAUUAUGUAAUUAAUAUUAUCA